UACGAAGGGGGCUAGCGUUGCUCGGAAUCACUGGGCGUAAAGCGCACGUAGGCGGACUUUUAAGUCGGUGGUGAAAUCCUGGAGCUCAACUCCAGAACUGCCUCCGAUACUGAGAGUCUUCGAGUCCGGGAGAGGUGAGUGGAACUGCGAGUGUAGAGGUGAAAUUCGUAGAUAUUCGCAAGAACACCAGUGGCGAAGGCGGCUCACUGGCCCGGUACUGACGCUGAGGUGCGAAAGCGUGGGGAGCAAACAGG
rnacentral:rRNA from 1 species